UACGUAGGGUGCAAGCGUUGUCCGGAAUUAUUGGGCGUAAAGAGCUCGUAGGCGGUUCGUCGCGUCGGCUGUGAAAACCCGGGGCUCAACCCCGGGCUUGCAGUGGAUACGGGCAGACUAGAGUUCGGUAGGGGAGACUGGAAUUCCUGGUGUAGCGGUGAAAUGCGCAGAUAUCAGGAGGAACACCGGUGGCGAAGGCGGGUCUCUGGGCCGAUACUGACGCUGAGGAGCGAAAGCGUGGGGAGCGAACAGG
rnacentral:rRNA from 1 species